rnacentral:rRNA from 1 species
GUCCUACGGGAGGCAGCAGUGGGGAAUAUUGCACAAUGGGCGCAAGCCUGAUGCAGCGACGCCGCGUGAGGGAUGACGGCCUUCGGGUUGUAAACCUCUUUCGCCAGGGACGAAGGGUAAGUGACGGUACCUGGAGAAGAAGCACCGGCCAACUACGUGCCAGCAGCCGCGGUAAUACGCAGGGUGCAAGCGUUGUCCGGAAUUACUGGGCGUAAAGAGCUCGUAGGCGGUUUGUCGCGUCGGCUGUGAAAUUCUGCAGCUUAACUGUAGGGGUGCAGACGAUACGGGCAGACUUGAGUGCUACAGGGGAGACUGGAAUUCCUGGUGUAGCGGUGAAAUGCGCAGAUAUCAGGAGGAACACCGGUGGCGAAGGCGGGUCUCUGGGUAGUUACUGACGCUGAGGAGCGAAAGCGUGGGGAGCGAACAGGAUUAGAUACCCUUGUAGUCCC